UGGCUCAAGGGGCACGUUGCUUCGCCUGU
rnacentral:piRNA from 1 species